rnacentral:misc_RNA from 1 species
GAGAGAGAGAGAGAGAGAGAAAAUGGGGUAAGAAAGCUAUGCAGUUUCUUCUCUUCAGAAUCCAAAACCUAAAACCCUCAACCCAAGUGCAAUUGUGAAAAGAGAGAUCGAAAAAAACAAUUAAGAAAAAUAACACACUGUUUUAGCAAGUGUACUUCAAAGAGCAAGUGAUGCAAGCAACACUAAAGAUGAUGAGAAAAAUCUGGUGGGCAGAUCUUUCGCAAAUUUACUGAAACAAUCACAAAUCCUAUCUACUUGUUUUGGUUUUCUAUGGGCCAAAAC